UUCGCUAGCCUGCGAGUCGAGAGGGUUCGGCCCUCGGCUGACGACUCAGUAACACGUGGAUAAUCUGCCCUUAGGUGGAGGAUAAUCUCGGGAAACUGAGGAUAAUACUCCAUAGAUCUAGAAUGCUGGAAUGCAUCUAGAUUGAAAGCUCCGGCGCCUAAGGAUGAGUCUGCGGACUAUCAGGUUGUAGUCAGGGUAAAGACCUGACUAGCCUACGACGGAUACGGGUUGUGAGAGCAAUAACCCGGAGACGAUAUCUGAGACACGAUAUCGGGCCCUACGGGGCGCAGCAGGCGCGAAAACUUCGCACUGUGCGAAAGCGCGAUGAGGGAAUCCCAAGUGUUUGCUCGUAAGAGUAAACUGUUUCUUUGUUUAAAACGCAGAGAGAGUAAGGGCUGGGUAAGACGGGUGCCAGCCGCCGCGGUAAUACCUGCAGCUCAAGUGGUGAUCAUUAUUAUUGGGCCUAAAACGUCCGUAGCCGGUUUAAGUAAAUGCCUGGGUAAAUCGUAUAGCUUAACUAUUACGACUUCCGGGUAGACUGCUAAACUUGAGACCGGGUGAGGCUAGAGGUACUCCUGGGGUAGAAGGUGAAAUUCUGGAAUCCUAGGGGGGACCACCAGUGGGCNAANGCNUCUAGCUUAGGAACCGGGUCUUGACCGGUGAAGGGACCAAGCCUUGGG
rnacentral:rRNA from 1 species